rnacentral:rRNA from 1 species
CUCUGUGACUCCUUACGGGAGGCAGCAGUGGGGAAUAUUGCACAAUGGGGGAAACCCUGAUGCAGCCAUGCCGCGUGUGUGAAGAAGGCCUUCGGGUUGUAAAGCACUUUCAGUAGGGAGGAAGGUAGUGUAGUUAACACCUGCAUUAUUUGACGUUACCUACAGAAGAAGCACCGGCUAACUCCGUGCCAGCAGCCGCGGUAAUACGGAGGGUGCGAGCGUUAAUCGGAAUUACUGGGCGUAAAGCGCAUGCAGGCGGCCUGUUAAGUCAGAUGUGAAAGCCCGGGGCUUAACCUCGGAAUUGCAUUUGAAACUGGCAGGCUAGAGUCUUGUAGAGGGGGUAGAAUUUCAGGUGUAGCGGUGAAAUGCGUAGAGAUCUGAAGGAAUACCAGUGGCGAAGGCGGCCCCCUGGACAAAGACUGACGCUCAGAUGCGAAAGCGUGGGGAGCAAACAGGAUUAGAUACCCUGGUAG